CCCUUAGAUGUUCUGGGCCGCACGCGCGCUACACUGACGAAGUCAGCGAGCAUGUCCUACGCCGACAGGUGCGGGGAAUCUUGUCAAACUUCGUCGUGAUGGGGAUUGAUUAUUGAAAUUCUUGAUCAUCAACGAGGAAUUCCUAGUAAGCGCAAGUCAGCAGCUUGCGUUGAUUACGUCCCUGCCCUUUGUACACACCGCCCGUCGCUACUACCGAUUGAAUGGUUUAGUGAGAUCUUCGGAUUGGCGCCACUGCGGCUCAGCAAUGGGCUCGGUGGAUGCCGAAAAGUUGAUCAAACUUGAUCAUUUAGAGGAAGUAAAAGCCGUAACA
rnacentral:rRNA from 1 species